UCGGGAAUUUUGGGCAAUGGGCGCAAGCCUGAUCCAGCCAUGCCGCGUGAGUGACGAAGGUCUUCGGAUUGUAAAGCUCUUUUACCAGGGACGAUAAUGACGGUACCUGGAGAAUAAGCCCCGGCUAACUUCGUGCCAGCAGCCGCGGUAAUACGAAGGGGGCUAGCGUUGUUCGGAAUUACUGGGCGUAAAGCGCACGUAGGCGGAUUUGUAAGUCAGGGGUGAAAUCCCGGGGCUCAACCUCGGAACUGCCUUUGAUACUGCAAGUCUCGAGUCCGAUAGAGGUGAGUGGAAUUCCUAGUGUAGAGGUGAAAUUCGUAGAUAUUAGGAAGAACACCAGUGGCGAAGGCGGCUCACUGGAUCGGUACUGACGCUGAGGUGCGAAAGCGUGGGGAGCAAACAGGAUUAGAUACCCCCGUAGUCCCUGAGCGGGCUGGCAAGGCGCAU
rnacentral:rRNA from 1 species